GGUUGUAUAGUGUAGCGGUUAUCACAUCGGAUUCUGAUGUCCUUCCUCCUCCUUCGCCAAGGAGCGAGUCAAGCACCAGACAUUCCGGGAACCCCGGUUCGAGUCCGGGUACGACCU